UGGGGAAUAUUGGACAAUGGGCGCAAGCCUGAUCCAGCCAUGCCGCGUGAGUGAUGAAGGCCCUAGGGUUGUAAAGCUCUUUCACCGGUUAAGAUAAUGACGGUAACCGGAGAAGAAGCCCCGGCUAACUUCGUGCCAGCAGCCGCGGUAAUACGAAGGGGGCUAGCGUUGUUCGGAAUUACUGGGCGUAAAGCGCACGUAGGCGGAUCGAUCAGUUAGGGGUGAAAUCCCGGGGCUCAACCCCGGAACUGCCUCUAAUACUGUCGAUCUGGAGUUCGAGAGAGGUGAGUGGAAUUCCGAGUGUAGAGGUGAAAUUCGUAGAUAUUCGGAGGAACACCAGUGGCGAAGGCGGCUCACUGGCUCGAUACUGACGCUGAGGUGCGAAAGCGUGGGGAGCAAACA
rnacentral:rRNA from 1 species